GAUUAUGGCUCAGAACGAACGCUGGCGGCAGGCCUAACACAUGCAAGUCGAGCGCGCCCUUCGGGGUGAGCGGCGGACGGGUUAGUAACGCGUGGGAACGUACCCUUUGGUAGGGAAUAGCCACUGGAAACGGUGAGUAAUACCCUAUGAGCCCUUCGGGGGAAAGAUUUAUCGCCAAAGGAUCGGCCCGCGUUAGAUUAGGUAGUUGGUGGGGUAAUGGCCUACCAAGCCUACGAUCUAUAGCUGGUUUUAGAGGAUGAUCAGCAACACUGGGACUGAGACACGGCCCAGACUCCUACGGGAGGCAGCAGUGGGGAAUCUUGGACAAUGGGGGCAACCCUGAUCCAAGCCAUGCCGCGUGAGUGAAGAAGGCCUUAGGGUCGUAAAGCUCUUUCGCCUGUGAAGAUAAUGACGGUAGCAGGUAAAGAAACCCUGGCUAACUCCGUGCCAGCAGCUGC
rnacentral:rRNA from 1 species